rnacentral:ncRNA from 1 species
AUAUUCAUGUCUGGGAGCUGAUGCAUAUCGGCUGAGAGUGUUUCUAUUGCGAAACAGACCAUACUUGAUCCGGGUAAUGCUGGCGUAAGGAUUAAAUUGAUUCUUUAA